AAUGCCUUAAGGUCUUGAAAAUCAGAUUGUUCACAUGAAAGGUUAAUGUGAUUUGAAUCAGAGCAGAUCAAACCCCACCCACACAGUUUCACUUGUGUUUUACAGUUUCACUUACAGCCCAACCACAGAUCAGUUCACAUUUGUAUGUGUCAUUGGCUGAAGUCCCACACUGACUUUCAUAUCAGGUGAUCGUGACGGAAUUACAGGCAAGAAGGCUGCCAAGCCAGUGACCACUGUUCAAGACUGUGUGACGUUUGUGUAAACCCUGAGUCCAGUGACAUCACUUGUCGGUCGUCUCCGAGGUGACGGCGAGGUGAAGCAGACCGCUGUUGGACAGAACUGGGCGCCGCAUCAGACGGGAAACAAGCGGUGGUUAAGAAUAAACACUGAGACAGAAACCUCAGCAGACAGAAUACAGGAGAGCUUG